CCUGGUGGCUUUGGCGGAGGGACCACACCCGAUCCCAUCCCGAACUCGACCGUGAAAACCUCCAGCGCCUAUGAUACUGCAGCUCAAGCUGCGGAAAAGUCGGUCGCCGCCAGGU
rnacentral:rRNA from 1 species